rnacentral:rRNA from 1 species
CGACGAGCAAUAUGAAGGUCAGGCUGAAGACCUUACCCGAUUAGCUGAGAGGUGGUGCAUGGCCGUUGUCAGUUCGUACUGUGAAGCAUCCUGUUAAGUCAGGCAACGAGCGAGACCCACGUCCACAGUUGCCAGCAUACCCUCCGGGGUGAUGGGUACACUGUGGAGACCGCCGCUGCUAAAGCGGAGGAAGGAGUGGGCAACGGUAGGUCAGUAUGCCCCGAAUCUCCCGGGCUACACGCGGGCUACAAUGGUUGGUACAAUGGGCAUCUACCCCGAAAGGGGAAGGAAAUCUCUUAAAGCCAAUCGUAGUUCGGAUUGAGGGCUGCAACUCGCCCUCAUGAAGCUGGAAUCCGUAGUAAUCGCGUUUCAACAGAACGCGGUGAAUACGUCCCUGCUCCUU